rnacentral:rRNA from 1 species
GACGAACGCUGGCGGCGUGCUUAACACAUGCAAGUCGAACGGAGCUAUUUAUUUCGGUAGAUAGCUUAGUGGCAAACGGGUGAGUAACGCGUAGGCAACCUGCCCUCAGGAUGGGGACAACGGCUCGAAAGAGCCGCUAAUACCGAAUGACGUAACUCUUCCACAUGGAAGAGAUACUAAAGAUGGGUCAAACCAUCGCCUAAGGAUGGGCCUGCGUCUGAUUAGCCAGUUGGUGAGGUAACGGCUCACCAAAGCGACGAUCAGUAGCCGGUCUGAGAGGAUGAACGGCCACAAUGGGACUGAGACACGGCCCAUACUCCUACGGGAGGCAGCAGUGGGGAAUCUUCCGCAAUGGGCGAAAGCCUGACGGAGCAACGCCGCGUGAGUGAAGAAGGUCUUCGGAUCGUAAAGCUCUGUUGUCGGGGACGAAAGAGUAGACGAGGAAAUGCGUUACUAAG